CAAAAUUAAUGAAAUUUAUAAUGAUGUGCAGUGAAAAACUCAGUCUAUUAAUCAGUAUUCUUUAUUUAACACAAAUAGACACACUAUUACAGACGCCAUAUUUUCUUAAGCAAAAGUGAUACAGAGAAGCGGAAGACAAUUAAUUAUACUUAAGUUCUACAAUGACAGUAGAUGUCAAUUUGCCACAGAUACAUUUCCAACACCCCGGCUCAAGUUCAAGUUCUAUUUUUUGCUCUGUUAAAUUAAAAAAAUAAACUUGGACUUGUUACAAUCAAAAUCUACAAACUAAUUUAUAACAUGGCAACACAUACUUGGAAUGUCACGUCAGUUGACUUUGGCAUUUCUACUUUGACAUUCCAAUUUUGACAUUUUUCAAAUCGACAUUGACAUUUGAAAGUAAACAAACUCGUAAUACCUAACUUAAAUUAAUACUUUAACUAACAAAACCAAAACAAACUUUCUGCUGUAACAAAAGACAAUUAUUCUAAAACUAAAAAAAAACUAAAUCACUUUUAAACUUAAAAGUCUAUACCAAGUAUUUUACACAAAUAAUGGUGUCUUGUUUUUGACAAAGACUUGUUAAUGCUGCUGCAAUAUACUCCGAUUCAGCUGUUGAUAGCGCAACAGUUGACUGCUUUUUCGAACUCCAGCUGACUAAAUUUCCUCGGUGAAAGAUAGCAGUUCCACUUACACUUUUGCGGUCUACACGGUUUCCUCCCCAGUCCGCAUCUGAAAAAGCUUGUAAAUAAUUACCUUCUUCUUUUUUAUAAACUAAUCCUUUUUCUUUUGUCUGUUUCAGGUAUCUCAGAAUUCUCUUCCCUGCUUUCCAUAAUGUGGCGGUUGGACAAUGCAUAUAUCUACUUAUAAAACCUGUUGCAUAUGCAAUGUCUGGCCUGCUGAUUGUCGCUAGAUACAUAAGUGACCCAACAAGUUCUCUGUAUGGAAUGUUGGUCAGGAUUUCUUCUUUUUCGUCAACGUUCAGGCCAACUUCCAUCGGUGUACUUAUACCUUUGCAAUCUUGCAUAUUAAAUUUUAAUAAAAUUUUCUCAAUAAUUUGUGUCUGUUUAAUUUCCAUUCCUUGAUUAAGUCUUGUAAUUUCCAUUCCUAAAAAUUUACUUAUAUUUCCCAUGUCUCUAGCUUGAAACUCCUUUUUUAACUCUUGUAUUAUUGACUGACCAUCUCCAACUAUUAAGAUAUCAUCCACAAAUAUUAAAAUAUACACAUUUUUCCCAGUAUAUAGGCAAAAAUCAUGUGGGGAUUGUUUCAAACCAUUCUUUAUAAGGAAAUCAUUUAGCUUUUCAUUCCAACAACGUGGUGACUCUUUUAAACCAUAUAAAGCUUUUCUUAACUUUAACACGUAUCCUUCUUUCUUUUUCAAUCCUUCAGGAUAUUUAAUAUAAAUAUUUGUCUUUAAAUCUCCAUUUAAAAAUGCUGUAGGUAUGUCCAUCUGUCUUAUGGGUAAAUCUUCUUGAAUUGCUUUAUUCAAAAAUAAUCUGACUGUGGUCAUUCUAGCCACUGGCGCAUACACAUUGUGGGUGGUUUCCUCUUGAAAUCCCUUGGCGACAAGCCUGGCCUUCUUUACAUUGUCUGUCUUGGUACGAAAUACCCAUUUUGUGUCAAUUGCCUUUUGACCUCUUGGUAACUUGGUUUCUUCCCAUGUUUGUAACCUUUGAAGUGCCUCCAUCUCGCUAUUUAUAGCUUUUGACCAUUCCUCAUUUUGUAUUGCCUCUUUAUAGCUCUUUGGAUCUUCUGAUAGUAAAGCAUAUGCUAUAUUCGACAUAUCAUAAUCUUGAAAUCUCAUUGGUUUCUUUAUCACUCUUUUCUUUCUUUUAUUGCAGUUUUUCUCGUCAUCUGAGCUUUCAUCUUCUUCACUACUGCUGGAUGGUUCUAUUUCUGGUUCUUUAGAAGUAGAAGGGGUUUCUUUGGAUGUUGAUGUCUCGCUCUCUCCGUUUUCAUCAUAAUCUAUGUGUGAGAUUCUUUCAUUUUCUUCAUAUCUGUAGUUUGACUCAUCAAAUCGUACAUCUCUGGACUCAACUAUAUCAUUUGUUUUAGGAUCCCAUAGUCUGUAACCUGAGCCGCAAUAUCCAAUCAUAAUCAUGGGCUUCGCUCUUGGUUCCAAUUUGGUUAACCUUGGUAGAAGUACACACCAUGCCUUCGAGCCAAAAACUCUUAUUUUAUCUAGCUGACUCUUUCCAUACCAUACUCUCGCCGGUGUGUCACCUUCAAGUGCUUUUGUAGGUGAUCUAUUUAUGACAUAUGCUGCACACCUCAUGGCUUCACCCCACAGAUACUUUGGAAGAUUUGUCUCCAGUAACAUAGCUCUUACUCUAUCUGCUAGUGUCCGAUUCAUCCUCUCACAUAUUGAAUUUUGUUGUGGAGUAUAACUACAAGUAGUUUCCUGUACUAUACCAUUCUCUUCAUAGAAUAAUUUUAGGUCAUCAUUCACAAAUUCUCUGCCUCUGUCGGUUCUUAUUCUCUUUACAUUAAUAUCAUUAUUUCUAAGUCUUCUUAUGUAUUUUAUUAUAUAAUCUUUUGCUUCAUCCUUUGUUUUUAGUAAGUGAACCUCCAUAAAAUGUGAAUAAUCAUCUAUUAUUGUAAGGUAGUACUUUUCUCCAUCUUUACUUAUAGGUGUUAUCGGGCCACCAAUAUCACAGUAAAUUAAUUCUCCAAUUUUCUUUGUUCUUGGCUUUGGGGUUGAACUGAAUGAACAACGGGUUCCUUUAGCUUCCAUGCAUAUUGUGCAUCGUUCUUUAGAUAACGGUAAUCCUAGUAUCUUCAUACCUUGAUAGUUUAAGUGUCCCAUUCUCCUAUGCCAUAAAUUAUUUUCUGUCUUCUCUGUUAUUAACAUAUUUUCUCUGUUUAACUUUAAAUUUAAUGUAUACAGUUUUCCAUCAAUAUCUCCUUUAAUUUCUAUCUUUCCUCGACAAAUACUGACACCUUUUUUAUUAAAUAUAACUUUUAGAUCUUUCUCGUUCAACUUUAAAACAGAUAUAAGAUUGUGUGACAGUUUCUCCAUAAUAAGACAAUCUUUUAGUAAAAUUUUUAUUCCUUGUUUACAUAUUCCUGAUAAAUUACCUUUCUUUUUAGCUGAUAUCAUACUUCCAUUUGCAACUAAAACUUUAAUUUCUUGUAUCUCUUGUAUAUCAGUCAUAUAUUUCUCAAAUUCUGUAUUAAUCAUAUGGUACGAUGCUCCCGAAUCUAUUACAAAUUCUAUCUCAUUUUCAUAUGUAGCUGCUGUAUAAGCUUGAGAAGCAAUGAAUGUUAUCGCUUUAUUACUAUCAUUUUCUUCUCCUAAAUAUGCUCGGGGUCUAUUAUUUUUUCCUUUUGUUUUAAAUCCUCUGUAAUUUCCUCUACCUCGCUUUUGUGGAUUACUUGUCCUGGCUCUGUUUGUACAAUUUCUGGCUAUGUGAUUUGGCUCACCACAUGAAAAACAUUUUAUAGAGCUGCUUUCAAAUACAUAUUCUUGUUUACUUACUUUACUUUCUGAACUUUGCUUUUCUUUUAGCUCGGCAUCUAAAAACUUACUUUUUACAAACUCUAUUUUAAGUUCUAUAUUUGAAGUUUCUAGAGCAGUCACUAUGUGUGGGUAUGCUCCUUCCAUACUAAUUAAUAACUGACAUACUUUAUCUUUCUCUGUCAUUUUUGUGCCGUUCAACUCUAUUUCUCUAAUAAUCUUGUCAAAUUUGUUAAAGUGUUCCUCAACACUAUCUUGCCUUUUACAUUUUAAAUUAAUUAGGCUCCUCCUUAAAUAUAGAUUCGAAAUUGUUGAUUUUCGUUCAAAUACAUUUCUCAAGUUUUCAAUCAUUUCAUAUGCUGUUCCAGAAUCCUUCACAUACUCCAAAUGUUUGUCUGAAAGUGCUUGUACGAUGAUGUUGCGAGCCUUGGCGUCCGAUUUCUUUAAUUCUGCAUCUUUCAAAUCUGUUUUCUUACGUAUUGCAUUCACACACCCUUUUUCAUCCAUGGCGAUCUCUAUUCGAAAGAGCCAAUUUGUGAAAUUUCCACUUUCUAAUUGUGGUAUUUGGUUCACCGCAUGUGCCAUUGCUUAUAUUCCCCUUUUUUUAUCCUUGCUUUUGAAUAAAAAAUGUGAACCAACUGGGUGCUCGUUACUAGUGUGUCUUAACCUAGCCUUUUGACUAACACUGCCCUACAAACUUUGUCAUCUGACUGAAUUUUAAUAAUUUUGGUGGACUGGGCCCAUAACCUAAUGAAAUUUAUAAUGAUGUGCAGUGAAAAACUCAGUCUAUUAAUCAGUAUUCUUUAUUUAACACAAAUAGACACACUAUUACAGACGCCAUAUUUUCUUAAGCAAAAGUGAUACAGAGAAGCGGAAGACAAUUAAUUAUACUUAAGUUCUACAAUGACAGUAGAUGUCAAUUUGCCACAGAUACAUUUCCA
rnacentral:misc_RNA from 1 species